ACGCAUGUUGCAUCCCCGGGCUUCUCUGAUUUAUCGAUGACGCGAAAGCCCCAAUGCUCGUGCAAAAUUGUACGCCGUUCGUGUUGCAGUUUAGCCCUUUUUUCAUGGCUGUGUUCUGUGUCAAAGUAACUGCAAAAUUU
rfam:Lupinus angustifolius cultivar Tanjil chromosome LG07, whole genome shotgun sequence.